rnacentral:rRNA from 1 species
GACGAACGCUGGCGGCGCGCUUAACACAUGCAAGUCGAGCGAGAACCAGUCCUGGACGUGGGACGAGCGGCGAACGGGUGAGUAACACGUGAGUAAUCAACCCUUCGGUACCGGGAUAGCCCGAGGAAACUCGGAUUAAUACCGGAUGGCCCAACAGCUUUACGGAGCGGUUGGAAAAGGUAGCUUCGGCCUCCGACCAAGGACGAGCUCGCGGCGGAUUAGCUUGUUGGUGGGGUAACGGCCUACCAAGGCGACGAUCCGUAGCUGUCUGAGAGGACGGAUCAGCCACACUGGGACGU